GGGAUUCUACCAUUCCCUCCAUAUCUGUUGUGGGAAUUGAUGAGCCUGGAUAUAUUCAUAAGGAAAAUCUUGUCAUAGGAGAACACUGAGCUUCGCUCUUCAAGAUCUUAACAUCCUUGAGAUCACUGUUGACAUUCCUCUUUUAUAUUCACAAAUCGAGGAAAAUAUUUUUGUAAAUUUCAAAACAUGAUUGUUUAUAUAUCUUUUGUUUUAAAAAUUAUUAUAAAAAAUAAAUGAAAAUUUG
rnacentral:lncRNA from 1 species